AACGAACGUUAGCGGCGCGCUUAACACAUGCAAGUCGUGCGAGAAAGGGAGCAAUCCCCGGUACAGUGGCGCACGGGUGAGUAACACGUAGAUGACCUUCCCUGGAGUGGUGGAUAACCUGCCGAAAGGCGGGCUAAUACAGCAUGGGACCACAUGGUUUUGACCGAGUGGUGAAAGCGGGCCUCUGUUCACAAGCUCGCGCUCUGGGAUGGGUCUGCGUCCCAUCAGCUAGUUGGUGAGGUAAUGGCUCACCAAGGCAUCGACGGGUAGCUGGUCUGAGAGGAUGACCAGCCACACUGGAACUGAGACACGGUCCAGACUCCUACGGGAGGCAGCAGUGGGGAAUCUUGCGCAAUGGGCGAAAGCCUGACGCAGCGACGCCGCGUGGUGAUGAAGGCC
rnacentral:rRNA from 1 species